rnacentral:rRNA from 1 species
CACCGCCCGUCACACCAUGAAAGUCGGCUGUACCAGAAGUCACUGCGCUAACCGCAAGGGGGCAGGUGCCCAAGGUAUGGUCGAUGAUUGGGGUG